rnacentral:rRNA from 1 species
GAUGAACGCUGGCGGCGUGCCUAAUACAUGCAAGUCGAGCGAACGGACGAGAAGCUUGCUUCUCUGAUGUUAGCGGCGGACGGGUGAGUAACACGUGGAUAACCUACCUAUAAGACUGGGAUAAAUUCGGGAAACCGGAGCUAAUACCGGAUAAUAUUUUGAACCGCAUGGUUCAAAAGUGAAAGACGGUCUUGCUGUCACUUAUAGAUGGAUCCGCGCUGCAUUAGCUAGUUGGUAAGGUAACGGCUUACCAAGGCAACGAUGCAUAGCCGACCUGAGAGGGUGAUCGGCCACGCUGGAACUGAGACACGGUCCAGACUCCUACGGGAGGCAGCAGUAGGGAAUCUUCCGCAAUGGGCGAAAGCCUGACGGAGCAACGCCGCGUGAGUGAUGAAGGUCUUCGGAUCGUAAAACUCUGUUAUUAGGGAAGAACAUAUGUGUAAGUAACUGUGCACAUCUUGACGGUACCUAAUCAGAAAGCCACGGCUAACUACGUG